UGCGGUCGGGUUCGAACCACGGACCUUCCGGUCAGUAAAUCGACACUCUAACCGCUGAGCCAACUCGC
rnacentral:tRNA from 11 species